GAUGAACGCUGGCGGCGUGCCUAAUACAUGCGAGUCGAGCGAACAGAUGAGGAGCUUGCUCCUCUGACGUUAGCGGCGGACGGGUGAGUAACACGUGGAUAACCUACCUAUAAGACUGGGAUAACUUCGGGAAACCGGAGCUAAUACCGGAUAAUAUAUUGGACCGCAUGGUUCAAUAGUGAAAGACGGUUUUGCUGUCACUUAUAGAUGGAUCCGCGCCGCAUUAGCUAGUUGGUAAGGUAACGGCUUACCAAGGCAACGAUGCGUAGCCGACCUGAGAGGGUGAUCGGCCACACUGGAACUGAGACACGGUCCAGACUCCUACGGGAGGCAGCAGUAGGGAAUCUUCCGCAAUGGGCGAAAGCCUGACGGAGCAACGCCGCGUGAGUGAUGAAGGUCUUCGGAUCGUAAAACUCUGUUAUUAGGGAAGAACAAAUGUGUAAGUAACUAUGCACGUCUUGACGGUACCUAAUCAGAAAGCCACGGCUAACUACGUG
rnacentral:rRNA from 1 species